AGUGAACGCUGGCGGUAUGCCUAACACAUGCAAGUCGAACGGCAGCACAGUAAGAUCUUGCUCUUACGGGUGGCGAGUGGCGGACGGGUGAGGAAUACAUCGGAAUCUACUUUUUCGUGGGGGAUAACGUAGGGAAACUUACGCUAAUACCGCAUACGACCUACGGGUGAAAGCAGGGGAUCUUCGUACCUUGCGCGAUUGAAUGAGCCGAUGUCGGAUUAGCUAGUUGGCGGGGUAAAGGCCCACCAAGGCGACGAUCCGUAGCUGGUCUGAGAGGAUGAUCAGCCACACUGGAACUGAGACACGGUCCAGACUCCUACGGGAGGCAGCAGUGGGGAAUAUUGGACAAUGGGCGCAAGCCUGAUCCAGCCAUACCGCGUGGGUGAAGAAGGCCUUCGGGUUGUAAAGCCCUUUUGUUGGGAAAGAAAAGCAGCAGGUUAAUACCCCGCUGUUCUGACGGUACCCAAAGAAUAAGUACCGGCUAACUUCGUG
rnacentral:rRNA from 1 species